GACGUAGGGCGCGAGCGUUGUCCGGAUUUAUUGGGCGUAAAGAGCUCGUAGGUGGUUUGUUACGUCUGCUGUGAAAACCUAGGGCUUAACCCUGGGCCUGCAGUGGAUACGGGCAGACUAGAGGUAGGUAGGGGAGAAUGGAAUUCCCGGUGUAGCGGUGAAAUGCGCAGAUAUCGGGAGGAACACCGGUGGCGAAGGCGGUUCUCUGGGCCUUACCUGACACUGAGGAGCGAAAGCGUGGGGAGCGAACAGG
rnacentral:rRNA from 1 species